UACGUAGGGUGCAAGCGUUAAUCGGAAUUACUGGGCGUAAAGCGGGCGCAGGCGGUUCGCUAAGACAGAUGUGAAAUCCCCGGGCUUAACCUGGGAACUGCAUUUGUGACUGGCGGGCUAGAGUAUGGCAGAGGGGGGUAGAAUUCCACGUGUAGCAGUGAAAUGCGUAGAGAUGUGGAGGAAUACCGAUGGCGAAGGCAGCCCCCUGGGCCAAUACUGACGCUCAUGCACGAAAGCGUGGGGAGCAAACAGG
rnacentral:rRNA from 1 species